rnacentral:rRNA from 1 species
GGGUUGUGAGGUUAAGCGACUAAGCGUACACGGUGGAUGCCCUGGCAGUCAGAGGCGAUGAAGGACGUGCUAAUCUGCGAUAAGCGUCGGUGAGGUGAUAUGAACCGUUAUAACCGGCGAUUUCCGAAUGGGGAAACCCAGUGUGUUUCGACACACUAUCAUUAACUGAAUCCAUAGGUUAAUGAGGCGAACCGGGGGAACUGAAACAUCUAAGUACCCCGAGGAAAAGAAAUCAACCGAGAUUCCCCCAGUAGCGGCGAGCGAACGGGGAGGAGCCCAGAGCCUGAAUCAGUGUGUGUGUUAGUGGAAGCGUCUGGAAAGGCGUGCGAUACAGGGUGACAGCCCCGUACACAAAAAUGCACAUAUUGUGAGCUCGAUGAGUAGGGCGGGACACGUGGUAUCCUGUCUGAAUAUGGGGGGACCAUCCUCCAAGGCUAAAUACUCCUGACUGACCGAUAGUGAACCAGUACCGUGAGGGAAAGGCGAAAAGAACCCCGGCGAGGGGAGUGAAAAAGAACCUGAAACCGUGUACGUACAAGCAGUGGGAGCCUCUUAAUGGGGUGACUGCGUACCUUUUGUAUAAUGGGUCAGCGACUUAUAUUCUGUAGCAAGGUUAACCGAAUAGGGGAGCCGAAGGGAAACCGAGUCUUAACUGGGCGUUAAGUUGCAGGGUAUAGACCCGAAACCCGGUGAUCUAGCCAUGGGCAGGUUGAAGGUUGGGUAACACUAACUGGAGGACCGAACCGACUAAUGUUGAAAAAUUAGCGGAUGACUUGUGGCUGGGGGUGAAAGGCCAAUCAAACCGGGAGAUAGCUGGUUCUCCCCGAAAGCUAUUUAGGUAGCGCCUCGUGAAUUCAUCUCCGGGGGUAGAGCACUGUUUCGGCAAGGGGGUCAUCCCGACUUACCAACCCGAUGCAAACUGCGAAUACCGGAGAAUGUUAUCACGGGAGACACACGGCGGGUGCUAACGUCCGUCGUGAAGAGGGAAACAACCCAGACCGCCAGCUAAGGUCCCAAAGUCAUGGUUAAGUGGGAAACGAUGUGGGAAGGCCCAGACAGCCAGGAUGUUGGCUUAGAAGCAGCCAUCAUUUAAAGAAAGCGUAAUAGCUCACUGGUCGAGUCGGCCUGCGCGGAAGAUGUAACGGGGCUAAACCAUGCACCGAAGCUGCGGCAGCGACACUAUGUGUUGUUGGGUAGGGGAGCGUUCUGUAAGCCUGUGAAGGUGGCCUGUGAGGGUUGCUGGAGGUAUCAGAAGUGCGAAUGCUGACAUAAGUAACGAUAAAGCGGGUGAAAAGCCCGCUCGCCGGAAGACCAAGGGUUCCUGUCCAACGUUAAUCGGGGCAGGGUGAGUCGACCCCUAAGGCGAGGCCGAAAGGCGUAGUCGAUGGGAAACAGGUUAAUAUUCCUGUACUUGGUGUUACUGCGAAGGGGGGACGGAGAAGGCUAUGUUGGCCGGGCGACGGUUGUCCCGGUUUAAGCGUGUAGGCUGGUUUUCCAGGCAAAUCCGGAAAACCAAGGCUGAGGCGUGAUGACGAGGCACUACGGUGCUGAAGCGACAAAUGCCCUGCUUCCAGGAAAAGCCUCUAAGCAUCAG